rnacentral:rRNA from 1 species
CCUACGGGGGGCUGCAGUGAGGAAUAUUGGUCAAUGGGCGCGAGCCUGAACCAGCCAAGUCGCGUGAGGGAGGACGGCCCUACGGGUUGUAAACCUCUUUUGCCGGGGAGCAACGGGCGCCACGUGUGGCGUCACUGAGAGUACCCGGAGAAAAAGCAUCGGCUAACUCCGUGCCAGCAGCCGCGUUAUUACGGAGGAUGCGAGCGUUAUCCGGAUUUAUUGGGUUUAAAGGGUGCGUAGGCGGAUCGUUAAGUCAGUGGUCAAAUUGAGGGGCUCAACCCCUUCCCGCCAUUGAGACUGGCGUUCGUGAGGGGAAGAGAGGUAGGCGGAAUGCGUGGUGUAGCGGUGAAAUGCAUAGAUAUCACGCAGAACCCCGAUUGCGAAGGCAGCAUGCGGGCUUCCGACUGACGCUGAAGCACGAAAGCGUGGGGAUCGAACAGGAUUAGAUACCCCUGUAGUC